AAAAUCCUGCUUGUGCUCCCUUCCUGUACUCAGAACACUGUCUCCAGUAAGGACCUGUUGCCAGCUCACGAGAACUUGGACAACACAGACUUCAGUGUUGCAGAUAAAAAGAACAUGCUGGCACUCAUAGGUUCUCAGUCAA